GACGAACGCUGGCGGCGUGCCUAAUACAUGCAAGUAGAACGCAGUUGCGCACGGGUGAGUAACGCGUAGGUAACUGCCUCAUAGCGGGGGAUAACUAUUUGUAACGAUAGCUAAUACCGCAUACUGCGAGAUGGACCUGCUUUGUAUUAGCUCGGUGGUGAGGUAAAGGCUCACCAAGGCCACGAUACAUAGUCGGCUUGAGAGGGAGGUCGGGCACCCUGGGACCGAGACACGGCCCAGACUCCUUCGGGAGGCAGCAGUAGGGAAAUUUCGGAAAUGGACGGAAGUCUGAACGAGGAACGCCGCGGUAGAGAAGAAGGGCUUCGGAGCGUAAAGCUCUGUUGUGAGGGAAGCGGUAACUAAAGAGAAAGGGACGGCUAACUACGUGCCAGCAGCCGCGGUAAUUC
rnacentral:rRNA from 1 species